AAGUAUCAGAAUACAAUAACAUAGAAGCUCACGGUCGCCGAUCACCAUCGGGUUACAGUGACGAGUGAUGGUCGAUACCUCCACUAGCGAAUAGGGUUUCGACAAAGUCUAACCCGUCUUCUCGUUCAUGCGUCGGCAAGGUAGCUGGAGGGGUCUAAUAUACAUAUACAAAUUAUAUUUGCUGAGUUAUAUCAUAAUAUAACUAACAACAAGUAAAUGAUGAUGAAUUUGCAUACCUGAUGUUCGGUAGAUGGAGAUAUAGGUGUAGGUGGAGGUGAAGACCAAGGAUAAUGAACGAGAGGUGGUGGUGGUGGUGGGGGCACUGGGACAUGUAUCCCUUGGACCUGUGCUAGUUGCUACAAAUUUGCCGAACUCAUUCACAUCAGCGUUUUAAAUCAAUACAUAUUUUAAAGUGAAAGCUAUUACCUUUUGAACUUACUUGUAUGAGUGUUUGUUGUUGUUGAAUCU
rnacentral:lncRNA from 1 species